GACUAACGCUGGCGGCGUGCCUAACACAUGCAAGUCGAACGAGGUAGCAAUACCUAGUGGCAGACGGGUGAGUAACACGUGGUCAACCUGCCUCCGUGUGGGGAAUAACUAGCCGAAAGGUUAGCUAAUACCGCAUACGAUCGCUUUAGGGCAUCCUUGAGCGAUGAAAGGAGCAAUCCGCACGGAGAGGGGACUGCGUCCCAUUAGUUAGUUGGUGGGGUAAUGGCCUACCAAGACAUCGAUGGGUAGCUGGCUUGAGAGAGCGACCAGCCACACU
rnacentral:rRNA from 1 species